AUCUUGACCUCAGAUCAGGCAAGGCUACCCGCUGAAUUUAAGCAUAUUAAUAAGCGGAGGAAAAGAAACUAACAAGGAUUCCCCCAGUAACGGCGAGUGAAGCGGGAAUAGCUCAAAUUUGAAAUCUCCGACGCUUGCGUCGGCGAGUUGUAGUUGCGAGAAGCACUUUCUAGGCGGAUCGGUCGUG
rnacentral:rRNA from 1 species